rnacentral:lncRNA from 1 species
CUCAGGAUAGCAAUUUAGGUGGUUUAAGAUCAGACCUGUCUGACUACAAAGCCACCAGGGCAAACUGGAUGAGACUGAUGUAUAAACUGUAUCCGGUUCUCAAAGGCAAGCACAUCAUCAAAGUUCAGCCCUCUCCUUGCUCCAGUUCAUAUCUGAAGAAACAGAGGCACCUGAAGUCAUAUAUUUCCCUGAUAAAUCAUUUGCCAAAUUGUCCUCCCAUUAGCACAUGAGACAGAUGCACCAAGGCAGGAACCAGCCCUCAUGCAUGAGAGGGUCUGGCGCCUGGCUAAGGCUCAAUGUGCUAAAUGAAGAAAUAGCGGGAACAAUGGGCAAUAGAUCUGUGAUCCUCUGUCCCUCCACACACAUCCUUAGAUUAAAAGGAUCAUGGAGUCCCAGGUUCUGAAAAUAAAGCAGUAAGUAUGUAGCCAUCCAUUUCAUCCAACACUCAGAAGUGCAGUCUCUUACCACAAUAUCCUUUGGACAAGGCAGUGUUCAUCUCACAGGGCACCUCUCCACUGGUGAGAAAUGGAUGGUCUCCCAAAGCAGGCAGUUGUGUGUUCCAGUGGCCUGGCUACAUGGGAGAAAACAGUGCAGGCUUUAGAGGUGAAAGGCCAGAAUUUGCAAGUUGGCUGUACCACCAUUUGCCUGCAUAUUUUGAGGCAAGUUUCUUAGUAUGCCUGAAAUGUGUUAGAGAAAUUUUUUCUUUGAUGCUCAGCUGUAACUAAAAGAAGAUUGUCUUUGAAAUAGAAAUGAUGCCAAGCACUUCCACAGUUUUGGGGAGAAUUGAAUGGUAUACACAGACAACAGCUCUUAACAAAUCUAUAAGGAAUGUUGUGGAGAAGAAACCAAGGUGCCUUUCAUUAAUUCUUCCCACUAAACUAAUGGAGCCACUGCAUCUUGCAGACCAUCAGGAGAGCAGAAACAAAAGUAUUGGCUGGAAAAGUAAGUAAAUAUUUGACUUCUUUUUUUCAACUUGAGCUGAGAAGUUGGUUGGAAUUGCCCAUCUAAUGGGUUUUCUGGCAAACAUUUUAGAAUAUGUGUUUAAGACAGCUCAUAUAAGGAGAUACUUUGUUUUUCUUUCCCUGCGAUUACUACUACAAUAGACAUAUUUUCUGGACCAAAUAUCAGGCUGUGUUGUCUUAAAAAGACUACUUGGUUACAGGGAAAAUGAAGCCCAAUAAUCAAAGUGAAUGGAGAAAGGUCAUGACCUUGCAAUAAAGAAUACUGAAGAGGGCGGGGGAAAACGUCUGAAAUUCUAGUUCUUUUCUUGUCCUAACCAGUAUCCAGUGGGAGGCCUAGGCCUGCCUCUCCCUGUUCCCAG